rnacentral:rRNA from 1 species
AAUAUUGGACAAUGGGGGCAACCCUGUUCCAGCCAUGCUGCUUGUGUGAAGAAGGUCUUUUGAUUGUAAAUCACUUUAUGUUGGGAGGAAGGGCUUUAGGUUAAUACCCUGAAGUUUUGACGUUACCAACAGAAUAAGCAUCGGCUAACUCUGUGUUAUCAGCCGCGGUAAUACAGAGGGUGCUAGCGUUAUUCGGAAUUACUGUGCGUAAAGCGCGCGUAGGUGGUUCAGUAAGAUGGGUGUGAAAUCCCCGGGCUUAACCUGGGAACUGCUGUCAUAACUGCUGAGCUAGAGUACGGUAGAGGGUAGUGGAAUUUCCUGUGUAGCGGUGAAAUGCGUAGAUAUAGGAAGGAACACCAGUGGCGAAGGCGACUACCUGGACUGAUACUGACACUGAGGUGCGAAAGCGUGGGGAGCAAAC